GAGUUUGAUCCUGGCUCAGAACGAACGCUGGCGGCGUGGAUAAGACAUGCAAGUCGAACGAGACUUUCCGUUGUAGCAAUACGAUGGAAAGUUUAGUGGCGAACGGGUGCUUAACACGUGGGCAACCUGCCAUGAAGUGGGGGAUAGCUCGCCGAAAGGCGAAUUAAUACCGCAUGUGAUUAGAAAGGACAUCCUUUCAAAAUUAAAGUCGGGGCAACCUGACGCUUCUUGUGGGGCCCGCGGCCUAUCAGCUAGUUGGUGAGGUAACGGCUCACCAAGGCUUUGACGGGUAGCUGGUCUGAGAGGACGACCAGCCACACUGGGACUGAGACACGGCCCAGACACCUACGGGUGGUAGCAGUCGAGAAUUUUUGACAAUGGGGGAAACCCUGAUCGAGCGACGCCGCGUGGAGGAUGAAGGUCUUCGGAUUGUAAACUCCUGUCAUUUGGGAACAAGGUGCACACGUUAACUGCGUGUGUAUGAUAGUACCAGAAGAGGAAGAGACGGCUAACUCUGUGCCAGCAGCCGCGGUAAUACAGAGGUCUCAAGCGUUGUUCGGAUUCAUUGGGCGUAAAGGGUGCGUAGGCGGCGCGGUAAGUCGGGUGUGAAAUCUCGGAGCUUAACUCCGAAACUGCAUUCGAUACUGCCGUGCUUGAGGACUGGAGAGGAGACUGGAGUUUACGGUGUAGCGGUGAAAUGCGUAGAUAUCGUAAGGAAGACCAGUGGCGAAGGCGGGUCUCUGGACAGUUCCUGACGCUGAGGCACGAAGGUCAGGGGAGCAAACGGGAUUAGAUACCCCGGUAGUCCUGACAGUAAACGGUGCACGUUUGGUGUGGGAGGAUUCGACCCCUUCUGCGCCGGAGCUAACGCGUUAAACGUGCCGCCUGGGGAGUACGGUCGCAAGAUUAAAACUCAAAGGAAUUGACGGGGGCCCGCACAAGCGGUGGAGCAUGUGGUUUAAUUCGACGCAACGCGAAGAACCUUACCCAGGCUCGAACGGCAUCUGACAUCCUACGAAAGUAGGCUCCCGCAAGGGCAGAUGUCGAGGUGCUGCAUGGCUGUCGUCAGCUCGUGUCGUGAGAUGUUGGGUUAAGUCCCGCAACGAGCGCAACCCUUGUCUUCUGUUGCCAUCAGGUCAAGCUGGGCACUCUGAAGAGACUGCCGGUGACAAACCGGAGGAAGGUGGGGAUGACGUCAAGUCAGCAUGGCCUUUAUGUCUGGGGCCACACACGUGCUACAAUGGCAGGUACAAACCGUCGCGAGACCGCAAGGUGGAGCUAAUCGGAGAAAGCCUGUCUCAGUUCGGAUUGUAGGCUGCAACUCGCCUGCAUGAAGUUGGAAUCGCUAGUAAUCGCGGAUCAGCACGCCGCGGUGAAUACGUUCCCGGGCCUUGCACACAC
rnacentral:rRNA from 1 species